rnacentral:tRNA from 1 species
GGAAAGAUGGCAGAGGGGUUUAAUGUAGUUGUUUUGAAAACAAUCGCUAUUAAUAGCUCGUGGGUUCGAAUCCCACUCUUUCCU